rnacentral:tRNA from 1 species
GGGGGCGUAGCUCAAUGGUAGAGCAUCGGACUCUUAAUCCGCUGGUUGUAGGUUCGAGUCCUACCGCCCUCA